rnacentral:rRNA from 1 species
GUCGAACGUGAAAGUACCUUCUGGGUAUGAGUAAAGUGGCGCACGGGUGAGUAACGCGUGGAUAAUCUACCGGGAAGUUCGGAAUAACAGCUGGAAACGGUUGCUAAUACCGGAUACACUACAUAUAAACGUAUGUGGGAAAGACGGCCUCUGCAUAUGCUGUUGCUUUCCGAUGAGUCCGCGCACCAUUAGCUAGUUGGUGGGGUAAAGGCCUACCAAGGCGACGAUGGUUAACUGGUCUGAGAGGAUGAUCAGUCACACUGGAACUGGAACACGGUCCAGACUCCUACGGGAGGCAGCAGUGGGGAAUAUUGCGCAAUGGGCGAAAGCCUGACGCAGCGACGCCGCGUGAGGGAUGAAGGUCUUCGGAUCGUAAACCUCUGUCAGCAGGGAAGAACGGUCACUGUGCUAAUCAGCAGUGAAUUGACGGUACCUGCAAAGGAAGCACCGGCUAACUCCGUGCCAGCAGCCGCGGUAAUACGGAGGGUGCGAGCGUUAAUCGGAAUUACUGGGCGUAAAGCGCUCGUAGGCGGUAUGUCAAGUCAAGGGUGAAAUCCCCGCGCUCAACGUGGGAACUGCCUUUGAAACUGGCAAACUGGAGUGUGUGAGAGGAUAGUGGAAUUCCAGGUGUAGGAGUGAAAUCCGUAGAUAUCUGGAGGAACAUCAGUGGCGAAGGCGACUAUCUGGCACAUAACUGACGCUGAGGAGCGAAAGCGUGGGUAGCAAACAGGAUUAGAUACCCUGGUAGUCCA